rfam:Ictidomys tridecemlineatus contig035529, whole genome shotgun sequence.
GGGGAUAUAGCUCAGUUAGUAGAGUGCUUGCCUCACAUGUAUAAGGUCCUGGGUUCAAUCCCCAGCACACACA